rnacentral:tRNA from 1 species
CAAAAUAAUAGCUUAAUUAAAGCACCUUGCUUACACCAAGAUGAUGUUUACUAACCUAAACUAUUUUGUAUAUAG